rnacentral:rRNA from 1 species
GGUUCUCGGGCGGGUAUGAGGCCUGGCUUUGCGGCCGGCUGAAAUAUUUUUUUCACCCAUGUCUUUUGCGCACUUGUUGUUUCCUGGGCGGGUUCGCCCGCCACCAGGACCAAACCAUAAACCUUUUUUUUAUGCAGUUGCAAUCAGCGUCAGUAUAAACAAUGUAAUUAUUACAACUUUCAACAACGGAUCUCUUGGUUCUGGCAUCGAUGAAGAACGCAGCGAAAUGCGAUACGUAGUGUGAAUUGCAGAAUUCAGUGAAUCAUCGAAUCUUUGAACGCACAUUGCGCCCUUUGGUAUUCCAAAGGGCAUGCCUGUUCGAGCGUCAUUUGUACCCUCAAGCUUUGCUUGGUGUUGGGCGUUUUUGUCUCCCUCUUUGCUGGGAGACUCGCCUUAAAACGAUUGGCAGCCGGCCUACUGGUUUCGGAGCGCAGCACAUAUUUUGCACUCUGUAUCAGGAGAAAAGGACGGUAAUCCAUCAAGACUCUUACGAUUUUUAACUUUUGACCUCGGAUCAGGUAGGGAUACCCGCUGAACUUAAGCAUAUCAAUAAGCGGAGGAA